rnacentral:piRNA from 1 species
UGUGCCAGAGAGGUGUACUUCUCUUGGGA